CCUGAGAACGCAUCCCUGCUGCUGCGGGACCUGCAGCUCAGUGACAGCGGGGUGUACAGCAUUUUCUUCCAACAGCAAAAUCAAAGCAGGCGAAUCACCCUGGCAGUGCACCAGCAGCAUGUUUCCACCGAGCAUCCUGACAAAGAGCAAGAAGCAGGAGGUACAGCUGCACACAUCCCUUGCUACAGCCUCAGUGCCUGCUACUGCGUCAUCCUGCUGCUCCUGCAGCUGCUCUUCCACCUGCUGUGCCUGCGGGGUGGCCGCCAGCAGCAGAGCUGACCUGGAGAAACAUGAGGCUGCUGCUGGGGAGAAGAGAGCUGGUGAGUGGGAGCAGACAGAGCUGGCACCUCAGGACACAGCAGUGGCCAGGCACAAUGAGUGUGCUCUGCAGUGCCUCAAGCUGUUUUUCCUGACACCACUGCGCUGGAGAAACCCAGGCAUCCACAAGCACCUGUCCCUGCCUGCAGUGUGCAACCACUUCCCCACUCACAUUCCCCCACCAUUAACUAAGUCCUCCUGUGGGCAAAUAAACGUCCCUUCCUCCACCAAA